GAACCUACCNUUUGGAGAGGGACANCCAUUGGAAACGAUGGCUAAUACCUCAUAUUGCUGAGAAGUGAAAUGAUGAAUAAUCGCCGAGAGAUGGGCUUGCGGCUGAUUAGCUAGUUGGUGAGGUAAUGGCUUACCAAGGCGAUGAUCAGUAGCUGGUCUGAGAGGAUGAUCAGCCACACUGGGACUGAGACACGGCCCAGACUUNUACGGGAGGCAGCAGUGAGGAAUUUUCCGCAAUGGGCGAAAGCCUGACGGAGCAAUGCCGCGUGAAGGAUGACGGCCUAUGGGUUGUAAACUUCUUUUNUCAGAGAAGAAUUUUGACGGUAUCUGAGGAACAAGCAUCGGCUAACUCUGUGCCAGCAGCCGCGGUAAGACAGAGGAUGCAAGCGUUAUCCGGAAUGAUUGGGCGUAAAGCGUCUGUAGGUGGCUUAAAAAGUCUCCUGUCAAAGAUCAGGGCUUAACCCUGGGCCGGCAGGAGAAACUCUUAGGCUAGAGUUUGGUAGGGGCAGAGGGAAUUCCCGGUGGAGCGGUGAAAUGCGUAGAGAUCGGGAGGAACACCAAAGGCGAAAGCACUCUGCUGGGCCNCNNNUNNNNNNGAGAGACGAAAGCGAGGGGAGCA
rnacentral:rRNA from 1 species